rnacentral:rRNA from 1 species
AUAGAGACUUAGUGUGUCAAACGGCCGCGGUAUCCUGACCGUGCAAAGGUAGCAUAAUCAUUUGUUCUCUAAAUAAGGACUUGUAUGAAUGGCCACACGAGGGUUUAACUGUCUCUUACUCCCAAUCAGUGAAAUUGACCUUCCCGUGAAGAGGCGGGAAUGCCACAAUAAGACGAGAAGACCCUAUGGAGA